GGGGUUGUGGCUCACUGGUAGAGCCCUUGCCUACCAUGUAUGAGACACUGGGUUCGAUCCUCAACAUCA
rnacentral:tRNA from 1 species